UCCACAUCAGGCAUCGGAGAUGGAGCAGAUAACGUUCUAGAAGAGAGUAAGAAAAUCUUUGAAGAUGUCCGUGCAGAUUGUUGUGACAUCAGAAAAAUCCUGUUGAAAUUCCAGGAGCAGAAAGAGAAGUUUCCCGACUCUUACUGCGAUGCUUACAUCAGUUUUUGCCUGCCUAGGCUUUUAAAUCCAUUAGUCAGAGUUCAGUUAAUAAAUUGGAGUCCCCUCGAGCUGAACAACAAAUGGGAAUGAUCUUUCAGCAGAAUUCUACAGACCUGAAAGAGAUGCCCU